ACAAUAAAUGCCACUACACUAUGUACUUGACAAUGGUGAAAUUUGUAACUUCUUUUUAUAUACAUACCGCAUAUUAAAAGUGACAAAGCCAAUGAGUUUUAAAAAUGAAAUUAAAAAGUUGCUGGGUACUGAGGUGCAUGCCUGUAAUCCCAGAGGCUCAGGAGGCUGAGGCAGGAGGGUGGAGAGUUCAACGACAGUCUCAGCAAUUUAGCGAGGCCUUAAAAAACUCAGUAAGAUCCUGUCUCUAAAUAAAAUACCAAAUGAGCUGGGAUGUUGCUCAGUGGGUAAGGGCCCCUGUGUUCAAUCCCUAGUAAAAGAAAAUAAAUUAAUACAGUGUUCUAUAGUUUUCAUUGCAAAGAUCCUUCAAUUUUUUUGAAUUGACUGAUUUGCAAGUAAUUUAUUGUUUUGAGGCUAUUGUGAAUGGGAUAGUUUUUCAAUUUCUUAGAAGAUUAGUCAUUGAAAUAUAGAAAUGUGAUUGAUUAAUGAGAGUUGUUCUUGUAUCAUGUUACCAUGCUGAAUUCAUUGACGAGCUCUAGAAACUUUCUUUUUGAGUUUUUGGGUCUUCUAAUUAUAGGAAACAUGUCAUCAGUGAAUAGAUAAUUUGAGCUCUUCUUUUCAUGUUUAUAUCCCUGUGGGUACAAGUGCAUGGAGUACUACAUACAUGGCAUACAUUAAGGGCAUCAGAGUGGUAAUUGUUUGCAUUGAUAUUUUAUCCCAAUAAAAUGAAAAUUGAUCACAGAUGUCUCUUUAAGGUACACAGAAAUGAAAGAAAAUAAAUAAAAUAUGUAAACUUUUUCCUAAUUAGAGUUAGGGCCAGAAACUUAUGUGGACAUUCAAUUUCAUUUGUGUUCCUCAUUAAUGAUGGGGAAUCCUUAGAGAUGGGGAUUUCAUGGACCAAUUAGUCUAAUUACAAGCUCUGUGUAUUGAUCUUCCAAGGUCCUACAUUAGUGCACAAUU
rnacentral:lncRNA from 1 species